GGAGCAGUGGCCAGCUCUUUUUACAGAGAGACCAGUGUUUGCAGAGUUUGACAGGAUAGUCACCACAGAUCUGCAGACUGCAGAGUAACUUUUAUGGUGCUGUGGAUCGCUACACACCACGUUUUGUCACAAGUCUUCAAGAAGCAUUGGAGAGAAAUUUGAUGAUCUUAUGCAGCAAAUUAAUACAGGGGUUUGUGAUGUUGAUGAAGCCUGGGCACAAGUAUCUGUUGGGGUGCUGACUGUCAUUGAUGAAGAAGAAUCUCUCUCUCUACCUUUGC